UGGGCUAAAGUCUUGUACACUUCUCCUAAUUCUCACACUCUCACUCUUUGGCUUUCUCACUAUUUCUCUCGAUCUCUCUCUCAGUUUCUUUCUCAUUGAUACUCGAACAUUCCUCCUUAUUGGGCUACUGAUUUUGAUAUCUCUCCUCAACGCAUUUGCUGUAAAAAGAGUAUUCUACCUAAGGGCAUGGAAUAGGAUAUGAUGAAGAGGACAAGGUGCUUGUUUUUCUUUCUUGAAAAAUAAAUGUACCUAAUGAAUCAAUAGCCUAUUUGAUGCCACUGACUAUGAGAUUUUAAGCAAUGCUGAAUUCUUAAAUCCAGGAGGGAGUGUUAAAGAUAGAGUGGUAGCAAAGAUUAUCGAAGAGGUAAUGUGUUCAAGCUCAAGCUAGGGUAGUGAUGAAUUUUCUGACCUUGGAUGGUAGCGACUGAGUCUUGCAAUUUAUGGUAUUUACUGCUUUAACAAGCAUUUACACGGCAAUGCCAAUGCUUUUUAGUAGCUUACAGUUGUUAUUGUGAGUGGAGUAAUUUGAGCAUAUGGAUUUUGAUAAUGUUAAUAUUGUUUAUGCACUACCACUCCAUGGAGAGCCACCUGAUACUCUAUCCUCUAGUGGCUCAGAGAAAUGGGUUGUAAAGAAUGAGCAAUCCAUAGACAUCUUUCUCACUGUACGCAUUGCAUCAAUUUCUCUUAUAUAAAUGAGUUUAUUACAGAUAAAUGUUGUUUAAACAAAAUUUUGGGAGCUGUCUAUAACUAAGACUGAAGGACAUUGAAGACAAAGUUGCAAUUUGCUCAUGCAAUGGUUCGUUUAGAUAUUCUUUGGUUUCUUGAACUUAAUUCCUUUUGUAAACUUACUUUAUGAAUAUGUGAUAUUUGGCCAUGUGUUACUUUUGUAGACCUUUGUUGGCUAAUGUGCAACUCAAUAUGACAUUUGAGUACUUAAUAUGCUAUAUUGGCAUGUAGCUUAAUGCAGCAACUAUUUUUGGUCA